ensembl:lncRNA
CCCCCCCAAAACAACCCCUCUCAAACCGCCUCUCCCCGCUCCUCCUCCUCCCCUCCCCUCCCUCUCCAGCGCUCCUUCCAGCGCAGGGCUCGGUCUUGCACGGCUUGGCGGUAUUGGCCCCACCGGGAGCGGAGCUCUUCGCCGUCGCGGGAGAAACGGCGGCGGAGGCGUUUGCUGAGGGAGGCGACGCUUUGCUCCACCUCCGCCCCGUACUCCGCAACGCGGAGCCGCGCGUCCGCCGCCUCCGAGCGCAGCACCGUCAGCAGCGACCUAUGGGAAGAGGGGGAGGGGUCGAGGGGAGGGGCUGGGCCAAUGGGAAGCGGGGAUUGAGGAGAGGGGGAGGGGAUAAGGGGAGGAGCCAAUGGGAUGCGGGGCUUAGGGAGGGGGGAGGGGCUAAGGGAAGGAGUUGGGCCAAUGGGAAGUGGGGAUUAAGGAGAGGGGGCGGGGUUAAGGGGAGGGGCUGGGCCAAUGGGAAGUAGGGAUUAAGGAGAGGGGGCGGGGUUAAGGGGAGGAGCCAAUGGGUUGCGGGACUGGGAGGGGGCUGGGCCAAUGGGAAGCGGGGAUUGAGGGGAGGGGGCGGGGUUAAGAGGAGGAGCCAAUGGGUUGCAGGGUUUAGGAAGGGGGAGGGGUUAAGGGGAGGGGCUUGGCCAAUGGGAUGUGAGCUUAAGAAGAGGGGGAGGGGUUAAGGGAAGGAACUGGGCCAAUAGGAUGUGGGCUCAAGGGGAGGGGGCGUGGCUAGAGGAAGGGGGAGUGGCCGGGGGAGGGGCGUGGUCAGAAGGGGGCGUGGUCAGAGGGGGGCGUGGCCAGGUUAAUUGGGUGGUCAGAAGGGGCGUGGUCAGAAGGAAGCAGUGUGUCCAGUGAGAAGAGGCGUGGCCAGAUGAUAGUGGGCGUGGUCAGAGGCGGUGGGCGUGACCACAUUGAUGGUGUUGUCUGGAGGGGGCGAGGUCAGGUAGGGGGCGUGGCCUGGGAAAGGGGCGUGGCCAGAGGGAAGGGGCGUGGCCAUGUGGCUGGCGUGGCCAGAAGGGGCGUGGUCAGAUUAAAGGGCGGGGUCAGAUGAAAAGGAGGCGUGGCCAGAGGAACUGGCGUGCCAGUUGGAAGGUGGGCGGGGCCAGAAUGAGGGUGGCCAUAUGAAGGGGGCGUGAUUAGAGGGAAGGGGCGUGGCCAGGGGAAAAUGGGGCGUGGGCAUGUAAAGGGGGUGUGGUCGGGAGGAUGGCGUGGUUUGAUGGGGAAGUGGGCGUGGUCAGAGGGAAAGGGGGCGUGGCUGUUGGGAAAGGGGCGUGGUUAGGGGGUAGGUGGGCGUGGUCAAGGCGAAAGGGGCGUGGUCAGUGAACGGGGGCGUGGUCGGGAGGCGGGCGUGGUUUGAUAGGGUGAAUGGGCGCGGUCAGAGGGAAAGGGGGCGUGGCUGUUGGGAACGGGGCGUGGUUAUUGGGGUAUGUGGGCGUGGCCAAGGCUAAUGGGGCGUGGUCGGGAGGUGGGCGUGGUUUGAUGGGGAAAAUGGGCGUGGUCAGAGGGGAAAGGGGCGUGGCCAGAGGGAAGGGGGCGUGGCCAGACGGCGCCCAUAGCCCCCCAUGGCCCCACUCACUGCACGGUCUGCCCCACAUCGCUGCCCCACAGGCGGUCGCUGAAGUUCUUGGCCGCCUCCUCCACGCGGCCCCACAGCGUCAAUGGGGCCAGGGGCGUCUCCGGGGUGGGGGUCUCAGCCCCACACGCUGCGGGAUGGGGGGGGAAUGGGGGUCAACGGGGGGGGGGGGGGGGGAGGGUACGGCAGCCCCGGACCUACUGUGGGGUGUGGGGGACCCAUAGGAAGCGACGGGAAGAGCUCAGCCCCAUAGGUUGCACGUGGGGACCCCAUAGACACCAAUGGAGACCCCAUUGACACCAAUGGAGACCCCAUAGACCCUAAUGGGGACCUCAGUCCCAUAGAUUGCAAUGGGGGACCCUAUAGACCCCAAUAGGAGACUCCAUAGACCCCAAUGGAGACCCCAUAGACCUCAAUGGAGACCCCAUAGACCUAUCCCCUUAACCUAUGGGGACCCCAGCCCCAUAGAUUGCAAUGGGGGACCCCAUAGACCCCAAUAGGAGACCUCGUAGGACACAGUGGGGGACCCCAUAGACCCCAACAGAGACCCCAUAGACCUCAACGGAGACCCCAUAGACCCCAAUGAAGACCCCAUAGACCCCAAUGGAGACCCUAUAGACCCCAAUGGGGACCUCAGCCCCAUAGAUUGCAAUGGGGGACCCCAUAGACCCCAAUAGGAGACUCCAUAGACACCAAUGGGUAAUCCCAUAGACCUCAAUGGAAACCCCAUAAACUCCAGUGGAGACCCCAUAGACCCCAAUGGGAACCCCAUAGACCCCAAUGGGGGACACCAGCCCCAGAGACCUCAAUGCGAGACCCCAUAGACCCCAAUGGAGACUUCAGCCCCAUAGAUUCCACUGGGACCCCCCAAAAACCCCAAUGUGAGACCCCAUAGACCCCAAUGGGAACCCCAUAGACCCCAAUGGGAGACCCCAGCACCAUAGACCUCAAUGCGAGACCCCAUAGAUCCCAGUGGAGACCCCAUAGACCCCAAUGGUGGACCCCAUAGACCCCAAUGGAGACUCCAGCCCCAUAGAUUCCACUGAGGGCCCUAAAGACCCCAACAUGAGACCCCAUAGACCCCAAUGGCAGAACCCAUAGAGCCCAAUGGGGGACCCCAGCCCCAUAGACCCCAAUGGAGGGCCCCAUAGAUCCCAAUGGAGACUCCAGCCCCAUAGAUUCCACUGGGGGCCCCAAAUACCCCAACAUGAGACCUCAUAGACCCCAAUGGGAACCCCAUAGACCCCAAUGGGAGACCCCAGCCCCAUAGACCUCAAUGCGAGACCCCAUAGAUCCCAGUGGAGACCCCAUAGACCCCACUGGAGAACCCCAUAGACCCCAAUGGAGACUCCAGCCCCAUAGAUUCCACUGGGGGCCCCCAAAAGACCCCAUUGUCCCCCCAAAAGACCCCAACAUGAGACCCC